UUUUGCUGUAUUUCCUGUGUGUUUUUUUUUUGGUUGUUUUGCAGGUUGUAUUUAUAGUGUGGUUUGGAACUAGGGUUUGUUGAGAAGAACAAAAAAUCUGGGCCGAUUGUGAUGAGGAGCAAUAGCUAGUUGGAUUAAAACAAACGCGUAGAACUGAUGGACGCGUGACAGAUUGCUUUCUUGAUAUGAACCAAUUUUUGUUGGGAUUUUUAUGGACAUUAUCAGAUAAGAACAAAAUAAUAAAUUAAAAAUCAAAAAUAAAAGAAAUGCAGACUUUGACUUUUGGAUUCAUCUAAACAAAG
rnacentral:lncRNA from 1 species